UACGUAGGGUCCGAGCGUUGUCCGGAAUUACUGGGCGUAAAGCGCGCGCAGGCGGCCCGCGAGGUGUCACGUGAAAGCCCCGGGCUCAACCCGGGAAGGUCGUGGCAAACCGGCGGCUUGAGGCCGGUAGAGGUGGGUGGAACUCCUGGUGGAGUGGUGGAAUGCGCAGAUAUCAGGAGGAACACCGGUGGCGAAGGCGG
rnacentral:rRNA from 1 species